rnacentral:rRNA from 1 species
GAUGAACGCUGGCGGCGUGCCUAAUACAUGCAAGUCGAGCGAACAGAUAAGGAGCUUGCUCCUUUGACGUUAGCGGCGGACGGGUGAGUAACACGUGGAUAACCUACCUAUAAGACUGGGAUAACUUCGGGAAACCGGAGCUAAUACCGGAUAACAUAUUGAACCGCAUGGUUCAAUAGUGAAAGGCGGCUUUGCUGUCACUUAUAGAUGGAUCCGCGCCGUAUUAGCUAGUUGGUAAGGUAACGGCUUACCAAGGCAACGAUACGUAGCCGACCUGAGAGGGUGAUCGGCCACACUGGAACUGAGACACGGUCCAGACUCCUACGGGAGGCAGCAGUAGGGAAUCUUCCGCAAUGGGCGAAAGCCUGACGGAGCAACGCCGCGUAAGUGAUGAAGGUCUUCGGAUCGUAAAACUCUGUUAUCAGGGAAGAACAAAUGUGUAAGUAACUGUGCACAUCUUGACGGUACCUGAUCAGAAAGCCACGGCUAACUACGUG